UCUGCAAUACCCUGUUCAUGACCAAACAGUGCACAGAUGACUUCCCAGAGCCAUUUGCCUAGACUUCUCGCAAUAUCAGUACAUGGGGAGUUUCUUGCCUUUUGGGAAGUCUGAAGUCUUCUGCCAGCAUUCAGUGAGAACCAGGAGGUGAAGUGACUCACCUAAGGUCACCUGGGUGCUAAAUGACAGAGCCUGGUUGCACCACAGGGGAAAUUUGGACACAGACACACAUACAGGAGGAAUGCCAUGUGAAGAUAAAGAUAGAGAUUGCGGUGAUGCUUCUACAAGGCAACGAAUGGCAAAGAUUGCCAGCAAACCACUAGAAGCUAAGGAAGAGGCAUGGGGCAGAUUCUCCCACAGAGCUUACAGAAGGAACCAACCCUACUCACACCUUGAUCUUGGACCUCUAUCCUCCAUAACUGCACCGAGGAAAAGCCAUGGGAGUAAACAGCAAGAAGGUGGCUGUCUACAACAAACGGGAGAGCUCUCAUCAGACGCUAAACCUGCUGUCACCUUGAUCUUGGACUUCCACUCUUCAGAACUGUGAGAAGAUAAAAAUUUAUAUUGUUUAAGCCCCCCAGUCUGUGGUAUUUUGUUUAAAGCAGCCUGAGCUGACUAACACACUGGGUGAUCCACUUGGGUCUCUCCUUGUGCUCCUUUGCCACAUUGUAAGUAUGAAUGGACACAUGCAAUCACACUGGCCUGAGAUGAGUGAUUAUCAUGGGUUCAUAAC